UUGUCGGGCCGGGCCGAGCCGAGCCGAGCCGAGCCGGGUCGAGCCGGGUCGAGCCGUGGCCGUGGCCGGAGGAUGCUGCCGUGGCCCUGGGAUGCGGCCCCGGCCGUGCCGAGCCGUGCCGAGCCCGCAGGACGUGGCCGUGCCGAGCCGUGCGAAUUGGCCUCCCGCGGAGCCAGGAGGGCUGCAGCCCCUGGAGAAGAGGAGGCUGGCUUUUUUUUUCCUGCUGAUGCUGUAGACUUCAGGGGUUGGUUGUUAUCUUUGGUUAUCUAGCUGUAUGAGUGGUGUCAAUUCUUCAUAAAGCUAGAUAACCGAAAGUAAAAAUAACCCCAGUACACGCCUGAGGAGGAUGUGGAGAAGAAAGGAAAUUCAUCAAAAGGAAGAGGAGGAAAAGGAGAGGAAAAAAAAAAAAAAAAGGAGUGGAAAAGAAAGAAGAGAAAGGAAACGAGAGGCGAAAAAAAAAAAAAAAGCAUGGGAAAAAAAAAAAAGACAACUUUUUGGGACUGGAAUUAAAACCCGAGGGAGCGGCGUGGCUUCCCCCGGCGCGAUGCUCUGCUCGUGUUGUGGCCGGCACUUCGUGGCGCGUGGCUCCCGGGGAGAGUUCGCGGGGAAUUUCCUGGUCGUCUCGUUACCACGUGAAACCAGGAGUGGGAAAAACCCACCCUGCAAACCCAGGAGAGCCUGGCCCUGAGAGCCACCAGCACCAUCUCAGGGGGACACGGCCACCAGAAGCCCUUGCCGUGGCCGAUCCCACAUGAACCUUCCUCCUCCUCCUCCUCCUCCUCCUCCUGCCUGCAGCCGCUGGCUGGAGCAGCACAGAGCACGCCUGGUGCCAGCACCGCGGCCGCGGGGACACCGGGGACUGCCCUGGGGACAGGCAAGGACACCACCGAGCAUCCCCGUGCCGGGCAGCACCGAACCUCGUGGGUGAGCCCGGGGGGGGGGGGGUGCACGGGGGGCACCUCGGGGUGCGCAGGUGGAGGUGACGGGCAGGGGACCAGGCUGGGGAGGGGACCGGUGGCCUGGGCCAGCGCGGUUGUGACCGAGGCGCAGCUGAAGCGGGUGCUUUGCCCGUGGUCAAGGCUGAAUCACAAACUGCGCAUUGUUUCCGAGGGGGUUCGGCACAUUUUGCCGCCCCCCCCCCCCCUUUCCCCUUUCCUCUCGCCUUCGCACAAAGAUGUCAUUGUGCCGGGGGCUGGGUGAUGGCAGCGUUGUUAUUUGGUCCAAAAAAAAAAAAAAAAAAAAGUAAAAAGAAAAGAAAGAAGUGGGGAGGGGGGGACCCAACAAGGUGAAGAGGUUUAAAUCAGCUUAGCCCAAAUGCCAAUUAAAAACCAAAGAGGAUUAGGCUUGUGAUCAGCAGAAUAGACAGUCAUUGUGCCCGGGCGAGGGUCCCCCCUCCAGGUCCUGCGGCGGUGGGAUGCGGCGGCGCAGGGGCCGGCCCGCAAGCCGCUGGGUUCCUGGGGUGAAGGCCACCUUUUUGCCUUUUUUUGAGCAUAUUCGAGCACUCUUGGCUUGAGUUUGGCCAAGCAAGGAGAGCGUUUGGCCUCCCUGCCAAGGGAAGGUCUUGGUGCUGGGCUGGCUCGGGUCUCAGCACGCUCUGCCCUGGCCGUGGGACCACGAGGGCAGCAUCCAGACCUCCGGGUGCUGCAUCGCCCUCGGUCCUGGGGAGAGGGGUAGGAGGCACCAGGAGCAUCGUGAGGGCUGUCCUCCAGCUCGUGGGCAGCCAAAGAAUCACAGCAUCACCGGGGCUGGAAGCAACCUUGAAGAUCAGCAAGGAUGACUGCGAACCCUCGCGUCCCAGCGCUGCGUCGCGGCCCUUGGUGCCACCAGAAGACCUCGUGCAUGUCUGCCUGGAGAAGAUGCCUCGGUGCUUUCCACGUGGCUCAGGCCUCCUUUGCUGUCCUCCUUUGCCAUCCUCCAGCUCGCUGCAGCGAGGUUUGAGCUUCUGGGAGGUGCCCAUGGGGAAACCACGGUGCUUGUGGUGUCCUGGGCUAGGGCGAGGAGGUUUGGGGUGCUGAGCCCGUGGCCCUCCCAGCUCCAAGCAGCUCUCCCGUACCACUGGAAGCCCAGGAACUGAAAGUGCUUCGUACCCAGCCCUGCUGACCCCAUCCUGUAAAGCAAACUCGGGCACCCAGGGCAGCCCUAGCGUGGCACCGGGCGCAUCGGGGCCGAGGUGCCUCCGUGCCGUGUUGGUGACACAAAGAGGGUCAGGAAGUGCCACCACGCACAGGCUUUGAGGCUUCUUUGUGCUUUCAGGGAGGAAAGGAGCCAAGCAGGGAGUCCUCUGAUGCUGGUGGGUGCAGCCUGAGCCCCUUCUCCUUUGGCCUGAUGCUGCUGGCAGCUCGGGGGGCUUGGGGAGCACCCCGCGUCCCAUGGGGAGCUCCGUGCGUCCACCCCCAGCCCUCACCAGGCAGAAGCUGGUGGGAGAAGCCGUGCAGAGGCACUGAGCCAUUGGCAAUAAAUGCGAAAUGCUCUGGCCCUUGAGCUGCAGAGAGGAAAUAGGAGAGAAAAAAAAGGCCUUUUUUUUUUUUUUCUGAAGGGAGAGCCUUCUGCAGCAGGAGCUGGUCCUGGUGCUGUGGGCGAGCCUGGGGCCGGGGCAGCGGGCUCUCAGGGAGCGUUUUGGGGCAGGGAGCGGGGCUGCUGCAGGGCGAAGGAUCCGUUCUGCAGGUGGGGACAGGGCUGGGGCUUUCUCCCCGAGCACGGCGCCCAUGGGUGCCGCAGCAUCCCUCCUCCACCGCCCUGCCCACGGCGCCCAGCGAGCGCGGGGACUUUGGGAACGGGGAGCGAGGGAGCGUCAGCAUCCGUCCCCCUUUUGUCGCCGCCGUGUAAUUUAUGAUAUGAGAGGGGGGCCAUUGUCUGGACCCAUCCUGUAUUUUUCCGAGGGCUUUGCCUCUCUUCCCAGCCCCCUGCUGUGCCGCUGCUACUGUACCGUUGCCAUGGGACGUGCUCCCCGCGCCGCGGCAAUGCGGGGCAGCGCCGGGGAGGGCAGAGCGCCGCGGCCGGACCCAUCUGGAGCCCCGCAGCCCCGCUGCCGGCAGCACCCGCGGGCGGCCCCGCUGACGUGCCGAGGGCCUGGGAAUGGGGCUUUCGGCCCCUCCAAGUUCACGGCCACCGGAGGCAUUCAGCUGCCAGGGGGGCAGCGGGAUCCGGGGCGUUUGGCUCCAUUCUCCCUUCCCCUCCGCCUUUCAGCGGGCGGCGGUGUCCUCGGCGCAUACAGAUCCCCCCGUCCCUUUCUCCUCCUGACAAGUGCGCACAUAAAUAAAUUACCCCCACCGGGCGAGUGUGGAACAAUCUGUCCCCUAAAUUCUAUUCAUCGCCAGACAGGACCCAUUAUUCCCCCGAUUAAAGCCGCUGGAGUAGCUUGCAA